AUCAUUCAACACAGGUUUUCUAUUUAAGUUCAUCGUCCUCUGAUUCUAUCUAAAUUGAAAAUGGCAGCUUAUGGAGCUAUAUUCAUGUUGCUAGCAACAAUUUUAAUGGUUUUGGCACCAAGUGUUAUGUCAUAUUGCGCUGAACUUGGACGUCAAUGUGACGGUGGUCCUAUUAAAUGUUGUAACAAUCGUCAUUGUGAACGAACACCAGGACAACGUUGGGGUUUAUGUCGAUAAUGAUAUAUAAUAUAUUAUAUAUUUUUUAAUCAACAAAAACUAUAUGUACUUGAAAUAAAAUUUAUAUUUUAACAGU